rnacentral:snRNA from 1 species
AGCUUUGCAAGGUGGCAGUAUCGUAGCCAAUGAGGUUUAUCCCAGGCACGAUUAUUGCUAAUUGAAACUUUUCCCAAUACCCCGCCAUGACGACUUGAAAUAUAGUCGGCAUUGGCAGUUUUUGACAGUCUCUACGGAGA